rnacentral:rRNA from 1 species
UACGAAGGGGGCUAGCGUUGCUCGGAAUCACUGGGCGUAAAGGGCGCGUAGGCGGCGUUUUUAAGUCGGGGGUGAAAGCCUGUGGCUCAACCACAGAAUGGCCUUCGAUACUGGGACGCUUGAGUAUGGUAGAGGUUGGUGGAACUGCGAGUGUAGAGGUGAAAUUCGUAGAUAUUCGCAAGAACACCGGUGGCGAAGGCGGCCAACUGGACCAUUACUGACGCUAGGCGCGAAAGCGUGGGGAGCAAACAGG